GCCCGAUGAACCUGAAUAUCCGUUAUGGAAAAUUCAUCAUUAGAAUUGUAGUAUUUAAACAAUAUUAUAAUGAUAGUGUGCAUUUUUUCCAUAUAAGGACAUUGUAAUCUAUUAGCAUAAUAAAUUUAUCAAAAAAUUAUGUCAUCAUGUUUAUUUCAUUAUUAAUGCUUGCAUUUUAACAUAAAAUAAAAGUCAUAAAUUUGAUAAAGUGCUGAUAGAUUUAUAAGAUUACAGUGCGUUAAUUUUUCGGAAUUAUAUAGUGGCAUAAAUUUCAUUGAUUUUUGUGUUUAUUAUAUGCACUUGUAUGAUUAACAAUGCGAAAGAUUCAGGAUACUUCGGG
rnacentral:rRNA from 1 species